rnacentral:rRNA from 1 species
GGAUAACCUCCCCCCUUUGUUUAUUAUACCUUUGUUGCUUUGGCGGGCCCGUCCUCGGACCACCGGCUUCGGCUGGUCAGUGCCCGCCAGAGGACCUAAAACUCUGUUUGUUCAUAUUGUCUGAGUACUAUAUAAUAGUUAAAACUUUCAACAACGGAUCUCUUGGUUCUGGCAUCGAUGAAGAACGCAGCGAAAUGCGAUAAGUAAUGUGAAUUGCAGAAUUCAGUGAAUCAUCGAAUCUUUGAACGCACAUUGCGCCCCCUGGUAUUCCGGGGGGCAUGCCUGUUCGAGCGUCAUUACAACCCUCAAGCUCUGCUUGGUAUUGGGCUCUGCCGGUCCCGGCAGGCCUUAAAAUCAGUGGCGGUGCCAUUCGGCUUCAAGCGUAGUAAUUCUUCUCGCUUUGGAGACCCCGGGUGCGUGCUUGCCAGCAACCCCCAAUUUUUUCAGGUUGACCUCGGAUCAGGUAGGGAUACCCGCUGAACUUAAGCAUAUCAUACGGGG